rnacentral:ncRNA from 1 species
GGUUAAGUGACUAAGCGUACACGGUGGAUGCCUUGGCAGUCAGAGGCGAUGAAGGACGUAUUAACUUGCGAUAAGCGUAGAUGAGGCAGUAAAAGCCACUUGAGUCUACGAUUUCCGAAUGGGGAAACCCAGCUGCAUAAGCAGUUAUCGUUGCGUGAAUACAUAGCGUAACGAGGCGAACCGGGAGAACUGAAACAUCUAAGUACCCCGAGGAAAAGAAAUCAACCGAGAUUCUGGAAGUAGCGGCGAGCGAAACCGGAUUAGCCCUUAAGCUUUUUAUGCGUCAGGUGAAGUGUCUGGAAAGGCACGCGAUACAGGGUGAUAGCCCCGUAACCGGCAACGUAUUUAAAGUGAAAUCGAGUAAGGCGGGACACGUGAUAUCCUGUCUGAAUAUGGGGGGACCAUCCUCCAAGGCUAAAUACUCCUGACUGACCGAUAGUGAACCAGUACCGUGAGGGAAAGGCGAAAAGAACCCCUGUGAGGGGAGUGAAAUAGAACCUGAAACCGUGUACGUACAAGCAGUAGGAGCCUCCUUUGUGGGGUGACUGCGUACCUUUUGUAUAAUGGGUCAGCGACUUAUAUUCAGUG